rnacentral:rRNA from 1 species
GACGAACCGUCCAAACGUUAUUCGGAAUUACUGGGCUUAAAGGGUGCGUAGGCGGCGCGGUAAGUUGGGUGUGAAAUCCCUCGGCUCAACCGAGGAAUAGCGCUCGAUACUGCCGUGCUUGAGGGAGACAGAGGUGAGUGGAACUUAGGGUGGAGCGGUGAAAUGCGUUGAUAUCCUAAGGAACACCAGUGGCGAAGGCGAGUCCCUGGACAACACCUGACACUGAGGCACGAAAGCUAGGGGAGCAAACAGG